UAGAAAAGGAGAGACAGACAGUGUCUGACAGG
rnacentral:piRNA from 1 species